CGGAAGGCACCCGGCACACCUUGUGAGCUGUUUGUUCUUGUUCUUCUUACGCCUGAAGCUGCCAUUGAAAAGCAUCCAAGAGUUUCAACUGAAUGGCAGUGGCCUCCGGUUCGCCUGGAACGCUCACCUCUGAUAAGUAGAGUCUUGCAAUGCUCAAUGGCCUCUCAUGAACACUCCCGUGUAAGUGACAAGUGAGAAAUGAGGCCCCAGGCCCUGGUAGCCAUUGGGACAUCCCCCAAGGCUUGAACUCCUGCCAGUCCAGCCUGCAGGUGCUUAGCAGGAUUUGGUCACUUGGCUUCAGCUGGCGUGUUAGUGAGUCUUGCCCUGGCUCAAGCAAAAGUCAGCGGCUCUGCGUCAGGGCACCCACAGGAUGGAAGGUGGGACUCACUCUGAACUGGUGUCAUGAUGCUUCCAACCGGCUCCAGGAAGACUACCAGCUGGGAAUCCCCCGCAGCCUGGCGGAAGAGCCCCCGUACCAAGCUCCUGAAGAAGAUCACCCUUCCCAGCAGCCUCAGAUGCAAGAACUGGGGAUGGGGCAGACAGACUUGUCACAGGGCUCCCGGGAGGCCUCACCCUUCCCUUCUGAGGGCCAGGGAGAGGAGAGCCACAUUUUGCCGGAAGGAUGCCUGGGGACUGGCUCAGCGAGGCUGGCAUUCUCCUAUUGAAGGAUCCUUCGCUCAGCUCUGCAGUGUGAGGCCCCAAUGCCCCUAGUCCCCGAGCCUGGGCCUUGAGUAAAAUGACAGGGUGUGCAGCUUUGAGUGAUA
rnacentral:lncRNA from 10 species